CAAGCCUUUCACCCCUGUCCUUCCCAGGGCUCCAGAUGUCCUUGGCCAUUGAACCAAAGAUCUUACAGAGGCCAGACAGAUAAGAUGCAGUCUAAAACUGCCAGUUACUAUUGGUAAUGCAGCAUGCUCUAUCAAGAACAAGCAAGCUCUUGCCCAGCCUGAGGCAGUAUGAGCAGUGGGACCAGCACUUUCCAACAGAGCGGUAUAAGAGGUGGUGACACUGGUGUGCACCGACCUUCUCAAGACUGUGUUGAGGACUCCGGGCCACACUCUUCCUUCUCUGGGAAUGCUGAGGCAUGAUGCCACAGAAGCAGCUCACUGCCUCAGCUGAUCAGCUAGAACGAAGCGACCUGCUUCUAAUACUGAAGUCUACACAGAAGUGUUACCUCGCCCUGAAAAAGGACAAUGUUCUAACUCAGGAGCAAUGAUGCUGAGGUAAAAGCUGGGGAGCCUGGGUCCCUUCUAGGGAAGGUACAACGUGGCAUGAACAUCCAAAGUUGUCUCGAGAGCCAUGGAAGCAAACCUGAGAAUACUUGAUGUCAUCACUCACUAUGUUUGAGACCGAGAUAGCUGCGUGGAACAAAGGCUUCAGUCUGGAUGUAAGGUGGCCAGUUACUUCAUCCUGGCUCCUCCUGAGUCAGGCAGAGGCUAUCCAGACCCCAUACGCUCAAUCUCUGAAUAGAAGAUAAGAGCCCCAUCUCAGGAAUGACCACUGCAUAUCUGAGGAGAACUAACACAGAUUUGAUUCUGUCAUUAAAA